UACGUAGGGUGCGAGCGUUAAUCGGAAUUACUGGGCGUAAAGCGUGCGUAGGCGGUUCCUCAAGUCGGAUGUGAAAUCUCCGAGCUCAACUCGGAAAUGGCAUUGGAAACUACCUUGCUCGAGGGUUGGAGGGGGGACUGGAAUGCUUGGUGUAGCAGUGAAAUGCGUAGAUAUCAAGCGGAACACCAGUGGCGAAGGCGAGUCCCUGGACAACUCCUGACACUGAGGCACGAAAGCUAGGGGAGCAAACAGG
rnacentral:rRNA from 1 species